AUGAAUUUUUUCUAAUAAUUAAGCUCGGAACACUCUGACGACAGCAAGCGACAAGCAGCAUCUGUCAAAUUUUAAGUACACACGUUCUUACGGACACAAUUAUUUUGACGACAG